UACGAAGGGGGCUAGCGUUGCUCGGAAUCACUGGGCGUAAAGCGCACGUAGGCGGCUUUCUAAGUCAGGGGUGAAAUCCUGGAGCUCAACUCCAGAACUGCCUUUGAUACUGGAGAGCUUGAGUCCGGGAGAGGUGAGUGGAACUCCGAGUGUAGAGGUGAAAUUCGUAGAUAUUCGGAGGAACACCAGAAGCGAAGGCGGCUCACUGGCCCGAUACUGACGCUGAGGCGCGAAAGCGUGGGGAGCAAACAGG
rnacentral:rRNA from 1 species